GACGAACGCUGGCGGCGUGCUUAACACAUGCAAGUCGAACGGAAAGGCCCUGCUUUUGUGGGUUUCUCGAGUGGCGAACGGGUGAGUAACACGUGAGUAACCUGCCCUUGACUUUGGGAUAACUUCAGGAAACUGGGGCUAAUACCGGAUAGGAGCUCCUGCUGCAUGGUGGGGGUUGGAAAGUUUCGGCGGUUGGGGAUGGACUCGCGGCUUAUCAGCUUGUUGGUGGGGUAGUGGCUUACCAAGGCUUUGACGGGUAGCCGGCCUGAGAGGGUGACCGGCCACAUUGGGACUGAGAGACGGCCCAGACUCCUACGGGAGGCAGCAGUGGGGAAUAUUGCACAAUGGGCGGAAGCCUGAUGCAGCAACGCCGCGUGCGGGAUGACGGCCUUCGGGUUGUAAACCGCUUUCGCCUGUGACGAAGCGUGAGUGACGGUAAUGGGUAAAGAAGCACCGGCUAACUACGUG
rnacentral:rRNA from 1 species